rnacentral:lncRNA from 1 species
CCAUCAUCCCUUAUUGACUUCACUUGCACAAGUAAAGGCCAAGUUAGCUGCUUCCUCUACAUCUUCAGCCUCUUUAAGACAAACACCCAUUGAUAUUUCAGCCGAAGUACUAAGUUAUCAUCGGACCCUAUGCAAGUUGGCCAAACUUUCAUUGGACAAUGUCAUUAGUUCACUGGCUCUGUCCAAAGCUUGGGGAGCCUUGGAUAUAUUACUAAAGACUCCA